rnacentral:rRNA from 1 species
UACGUAGGAGGCAAGCGUUGUCCGGAUUUACUGGGCGUAAAGCGCGCGCAGGCGGCAGUGCAAGUAAGGUGUGAAAUCUCCCUGCUCAACGGGGAGGGUGCAUUUUAGACUGCACAGCUAGAGGUCGGUAGAGGGGGGUGGAAUUGCUGGUGUAGCGGUGAAAUGCGUAGAGAUCAGCAGGAACACCCGUGGCGAAGGCGGCCCCCUGGGCCGUACCUGACGCCUGAGGCGCGAAGGCUAGGGGAGCGAACGGG